rnacentral:lncRNA from 1 species
UGCUUGCCAAGCACUGUCAUGACAAUAUGACCGACAUGCAACACAUAAAACCUUGCAUUAUCAUUUGAAUAUGAAAGGUACUUCAAUUGAUAAUGUUAAGGGAAGGGAUUUGAGACCAAUAAUACCAAUUUCUAGUAUUUUCUUGAGUUUUAAAUUGUUGACAAGUUCAGUUGCUUCUUUAUCUGUGCUUACAAUUACAAGUGAUUCUUGUGACUGCUUGCUUGAAUAAAAGGCAAUUUGAAGUAAAUGAAUGGCAAUUUAAGGUAUAAUGUUAGAGAAAAUUUGCUUUGCGAUCCCUUCUGUUGCUUAUCAAUGUGAUAGCUUAACUUAGAGCAUAUGGAAUGAAGAAAGCUGGAUAAAUUCUUUUAAGAAGAUCACGGUAGUUUUUAUGCAUAGAAGCAGAGAUUUUCAGAGUUGAAUCACUUUCUUCCUUGGAGAGUGACGCUAGAUGCUUCUCAUGCUGCAUUUAUUUACUUUAUGGAUGUUGAAAGUUCCUAAGUUUUCACACAUUUGGAAUACGUCAUGAUGAAGACUUGGGAUGAGUUGUAAGAUAGUUUUUAUCAUCCAUAAACUAGUAAAACUAGUAAACUGAGGGAGAUUGUUGCCGAGGGCCUGAAGAGUCCUAUUUCGAUUUUGGUUAAGAUGGAAACCGAACUGUACCCAUUCUUCUUGCAGAUUGCUUUCAAUGAUUGAAGUAGUUGUACUUCUAACAGAGUCUUUUUCAGAUAAUUAUCUGGAGGCCGCAUCCAUUGCUGUUCUGUUUAAUGAAAUUAAAUUCUAGGAAAAACAUAGGGUUUCUGAUUUAUUGGAACUGUAUCUCGAGAUAAGAAAAAGUGACCGCAUUAUGUUGUUUGAAUUUCAUAUCCUUCUAAACUGACAGGCCAUCUUUAGGCAAAUAUAUCUAGCUUAUGCAAAAUGAGCGCCCUUUUUCACACCAGGAAGCUCAAAGAAAGUCAUCGUAAUCAGAUGCACGUUUAUUUGUGAUCAGUUAUGAUUAUUUCAGACAUUUUCAGCUUUGCAUAUUUAUACAAACAUUAUCCAAGAUAAAAGAAUUCUAUUAAAUAGUCGAGGACAAGUUCUGCUCAAAUAGGACAAGCACAGAUAUCUUUAUGUUUAUUUUUUUUAUCUUUUUUUUUUUAAUUUUCGUGAGAGAA